rnacentral:rRNA from 1 species
GUACCCGCUGAACUUAAGCAUAUCAAUAAGCGGAGGAAAAGAAACCAACAGGGAUUGCCUCAGUAACGGCGAGUGAAGCGGCAACAGCUCAAAUUUUAAAGCUGGCGUCCUCGACGCCCGCGUUGUAAUUUGGAGAGGCAUCUUCGGUUUGGGCGCCAGCCUAUGUUCCUUGGAACAGGACGUCACAGAGGGUGAGAAUCCCGUGCUUGGCUGGCUGUCCCUCUCCAUGUGAAGUGUCUUCGACGAGUCGAGUUGUUUGGGAAUGCAGCUCAAAAUGGGUGGUAAAUUUCAUCUAAAGCUAAAUAUUGGCGGGAGACCGAUAGCGCACAAGUAGAGUGAUCGAAAGAUGAAAAGCACUUUGAAAAUAGAGUUAAAAAGUACGUGAAAUUGUUGAAAGGGAAGCGCUUGAGACCAGACUCGGCCGGAGACGAUCAGCGGUCCUUCUGGGCCGUGCACUCGUCCUCGGUUGGGCCAGCAUCGGUUGAGACGGUGGGAUAAAGGUCCGGGGAAUGUGGCUCCUUUCGGGGAGUGUUAUAGCCCCGGGCGCAAUGCCGCCAGUCUCGACCGAGGACCGCGCUCUUUUGCUAGGAUGCUGGCGUAAUGGUCUUCAGCGACCCGUCUUGAAACACGGACCAAGGAGUCUAACAUCUAUGCGAGUGUUUGGGUGUCAAACCCUUGCGCGUAAUGAAAGUGAACGUGGGUGGGAACCUCUCGUAAGGGGGGCGCACCAUCGACCGAUCCUGAUGUCUUCGGAUGGAUUUGAGUAGGAGCAUAGCUGUUGGGACCCGAAAGAUGGUGAACUAUGCCUGAAUAGGGUGAAGCCAGAGGAAACUCUGGUGGAGGCUCGCAGCGGUUCUGACGUGCAAAUCGAUCGUCAAAUUUGGGUAUAGGGGCGAAAGACUAAUCGAACCAUCUAGUAGCUGGUUCCUGCCGAAGUUUCCCUCAGGAUAGCAGUAACGAUCUCAGUUUUCUG